rfam:Oidiodendron maius Zn unplaced genomic scaffold scaffold_2, whole genome shotgun sequence.
GCCUUGGUGGCGUAGUGGUAGCGCGUUGCACUUGUAUGUCUCCAACAAAUGCAAAGAUUCCUCGGUUCAAUUCCGAGUCAAGGCA